rnacentral:rRNA from 1 species
CCAAGGCGAAACCGCGAAUGGCUCAUUAAAUCAGUUAUGGUUCAUUGGAUCUUACCCUGUCCUACUCGGAUAACUGUGGUAAUUCUAGAGCUAAUACGUGCAUCCCAGCCCCGACCGCAAGGGAAGGGCGCUUUUAUUAGAACAAGACCAAUCGGGCUUCGGUCCGUCCUCGCUGUGGUGACUCUGGAUAACUUUGAGCUGAGCGCACGGUCUUCGCGCCGGCGCCGCGUCCUUCAAGUGUCUGCCUUAUCAGCUGUCGAUUGUAGGCCACGCGCCUACAGUGGCUAUAACGGGUAACGGGGAAUCAGGGUUCGAUUCCGGAGAGGGAGCCUGAGAGACGGCUACCACAUCUAAGGAAGGCAGCAGGCACGCAAAUUACCCACUCCCGGCACGGGGAGGUAGUGACGAAAAAUAACGAUGCGGGACUCUUCCGAGGCCUCGCAAUCGGAAUGAGUACACUUUAAAUCCUUUAACCAGGAUCUAUUGGAGGGCAAGUCUGGUGCCAGCAGCCGCGGUAAUUCCAGCUCCAAUAGCGUAUAUUAAAGUUGCUGCGGUUAAAAAGCUCGUAGUUGGAUCUCAGUUCCGGACCGACGGUUCACCGCCCGGUGCCUACCGUCGGCUUCCGAACGGCCGCUACGCCGGCUCGGCCGGGGUGCUCUUCAUCGGGUGUCCCGGCGCGGCCGGCACGUUUACUUUGAAAAA